AAAGAAAAAGAACGGAAAUACAGAAUAUAAUAAUGAUAAUAAUGUAAUAUAUACUACUGACGAUAAUAAAAAACCUCCUUCUUCCUCCUGUUGAUAAUUUUUUUAUUUGAUUAUAUUCUUCUUUACUCCUUCGAUCUUCCCAUAAGGAGGAAAAAUAAAGGAGAAGGAGGAGAGGGGGAAGUUGUUGCGUUAAAAGU
rnacentral:ribozyme from 14 species